UGUGAUUAUGGUGGCCAUUUUAGGCAUAUGAUCCUUUUCUUUUAAAAAUCAUGUCAGUACAUGAAAAGUCUCAAGGAUGACAAUCAGCAUUUUGGGAUCGCAAGAUGGUGCCUUUGGACAUCAAUUGUAACAAUAUCUGAAUGCAAGAAAACAGGUCUUGCCCAUCUGAUGUCAUUUACUUGUGGCAGGUGUGAAAAAUGUAGGUGCUUUCAGUCGUGGUGAGUAGAAUGAGGGGACAUUCCACCUUGGAUGGGAGAUGGAGGUUCUGCAGUUGGCUACAGCACUGCCCCUGACCAAAGUUGCCUUUAUUUCUAAAUCUGUGAGUCUCGUAAGUGAGAAUUUUCAGCCUUUUGAACCGUGGGAAGGCAUGUAGAACCACAUUCUCACUGGCCAGGCAUACUGGUGAGCUUCCAUCAAGAGUCAAAGGAUUAGGAUCAAGAAUGAUGAAUUUGCAUGGUAUCUUUUAACUCUCCAUUGCUAUCCAGUAUGCAGAAGUCAAUUGUAGUGACAAUGCCACUGCUGUGGAUGGGCUCAGAUAACUCAGCACAGACUAAGAGUUUAAACUAACUAACUUUCUAAUCUAUGUAA